UACGUAGGGUCCAAGCGUUAUCCGGAAUCACUGGGCGUAAAGCGUGCGUAGGUGGCGUGUUAAGUGUGAUGUUAAAUCGUGUGGCUCAACCAUAUCGAUGUGUCGCAUACUGGCAUGCUAGAGGACAGCAGAGGCAAGUGGAAUUUGUAGUGUAGCAGUGAAAUGCGUAGAUAUUACAAGGAACACCAAAGUGGACGCAAGGCAUGCU
rnacentral:rRNA from 1 species